CCUACGGGUGGCAGCAGUGGGGAAUAUUGCACAAUGGGGGAAACCCUGAUGCAGCGACGCCGCGUGAGUGAAGAAGUAUUUCGGUAUGUAAAGCUCUAUCAGCAGGAACGAGACAAGACGGUACCUGACUAAGAAGCCCCGGCUAACUACGUGCCAGCAGCCGCGGUAAUACGUAGGGGGCAAGCGUUAUCCGGAAUCACUUGGUGUAAAGGGAGCGUAGACGGCUGUGCAAGCCUGAAGUGAAAGGCGGGGGCCCAACCCCUGGACUGCUUUGGGAACUGUACGGCUGGAGUGCAGGAGAGGUAAGUGGAAUGCCUAGUGUAGCGGUGAAAUGCGUAGAUAUUAGGAGGAACACCAGUGGCGAAGGCGGCCUGCUGGGCUCUAACUGACGCUGAGGCACGAAAGCGUGGGUAGCAAACAGGAUUAGAUACCCUUGUAGUC
rnacentral:rRNA from 1 species